UGGCACUAGUAACCAUUAGCUAGAAAUGGUAG
rnacentral:piRNA from 1 species